GUUCCAGAGCUCCCGGGUCGGCCUCUGCGACCGGGUAAACGGCGCUGUGAGCUGGGCCCAGCGCCAGGGGCUGGAAACCGCCGGGAGUCGAGGGCUGGUGGGUUUUCAAACACAAACCUCACUACAGGCCAUGAACUUCCUGAGUAGUUCUGAGUAUUCUUCAGAUACCCCUGGCUUCAGUCACUUGUCAGCUUCAGAGAAUCAACUCACCAGUACCUUGGAGCACUGGCUGUGGUUGAGUGGUUGAACACCAGGCAAAAUGAGGCUUCCAACCAUUGUCACCGAUAUCCUGUUAAAAUCCUGUCUCUGCUGUUGGCUUAGGAAUGAGCAUAGAUGGAAAAUUCUACAUAACUCUGGACAUUACCAGGGCUUCUCUUCAGUGUGGAUUUGCUGAUGUACAAUGAGGUGU